rnacentral:lncRNA from 1 species
AUCAGCAGACGGCCCAGAUUACUCGUCAGCGCCGUGAAAACCCGGCUGCGACCCACUUUGUAUUUCCUGCAGAGCAUGGGAAUCGCCGAGGUAAACAAACACACCUACUUACUCUCCUGUAGCGUUGAAGAUAAACUCAUUCCUCGAUUACAGUAUUUCCAAAAAAUGGGGUUCUCUAAGAGAGAAGCUACGGCGAUGUUUCGCCGAUUCCCGCAGCUGUUUAAUUAUAGUGUUAAGGAUAAUUACGAGCCAAAAUUGAAUUACUUUGUAGUGGAAAUGGGAAGGGAUUUGAAAGAGUUGAAGGAAUUCCCGCAGUAUUUUUCGUUUAGUUUGGAGAAUAGGAUUAAGCCUAGACACCAAGCUUGUGUAGAUAAGGGAGUGUGUUUCCCUCUUAAUGUAUUGCUAAAGACUAGUGAGGCACAGUUUCAUCGUAGAUUGGAUGUCUGUUGUAAUUCUUCCAUGCCCUUGACAAAGUCUCCAUUGUCGCCUAUAAAAUGUCUUAUUGAUUCAAUGUAGAGUAAAAGUUGUUAUAUUUAAUGUUAUUGAGCUUUGGUUCAUUUUGUAUGUUAUUUGGUUGUUUCUGAAAUUGAAUUAUUAACUGAUUGACUGUUAAAUUCGACUACCCAAUAUGAGUUUCCUGUCUGGACUCUUUCAAUGGGAAAUUAUACAAGUCUCAUAGUUGAUUAAUUGUUAAUUUGCUAUGUCGUACAUUGGCAGUCCCUCGUGUGCUUUUAUUUGUUGAAAACUCAUGAUAGACAUAUCUUUGAUGAUGUUUUCGCUUUAGAAAAUGGAGCCAGUGUUUAAAUAUUGCGUCAUAAGAUUGAGACUAGAAUGGAGUCUUAAUUUUCAUGUUUUCAAGUUGGCGACAAAUGCAAGAGUACUCAUGGGUUCUCCUUUUGACUUUGAGAACUGUGUGUGGUGUUCUUGUAAGUCUAAUCGAGUGCUUCCAACUGACAAUGAGGAAAUCUGUCGUUCUAAAUAUAGAUUGUGGAAAAGUGUUAGGAUCUGCUUCUUUCAGUUUUCUGAAUUUGAUGUUUAAAGAGAGUUUUAUACCAUGUGCAACCCUGGGUUGCAGUCACUAACCCCUAUACUCUUAUUGGCAAAAAGUUACCCGAGUUUUUCUGUUCGUUCAGCUUUGUACGAACCUUGAGAUAGAAAGGUUUCUGUAGAAACUAGAAUGUGUGCAAGACAAGGAAAGAUCUUUUAAAAUUCGCAUAUGCUUUAAUAUGUUUUCAUGAGACCUAGCUAUUUACUUGUAUUCUCAUAUAUAUGAGUGGUUGACCGGACAGGCAGACAGAAAAGCUUGUUUGAGUCCAACCUGGUCGUUAGUCUCCUUUGCCACUGGUACCUUGUAAGCAUUGUAUGUUUUUUUGUUGCAAUGUCCACAAUUUUUUUCAUUUCUGACUUUCAUUGCAAUUUCCAAAUUUUAAGCAAUAAAUCUAAAUUAAAACAUAGAAUCGCGACCAUUAUGACAUGACUCUUACAAAAGGGAUUCUACCCACCGCUGCUGUGAGGUUGGUGGAAGUAGGGGUGGGCAUAAACCCACAACUCAUGGGUUUAUCUAAACUCAAACUAAAUUAAAUAGUUUGGGUUGGGUAAAUCAUGAAAAUGGGUUAGAUGUGGGUUUUAUAUAGAAAACUAUUUCAUUAUGAGUUGGGUAUGGUUUACCCAUGGGUCAUAGACAAAAUCAAAACACUCAAAUUUUUCAAAUAAAAUAAAUGAACACAAAUAAGUGAAAGGCUACCAUUAAAUUUUUUACGGCGUGAUAAAUUAUCAACAGUUAGAAAAUGAAAAUAACAUGUAAAAAUAAAUUUAAAUUAAAUAAAUAUUGUUGUAAAUAACAUAAUUUUUUUUCUUAUUUACAAAAAUAAUUCCUCCCACAUGGAAGGAUCAUCAUAGAAAGAGCAGGAGACUCUACUAGUGAUCAAUAAUAACUCGGCUUGGACUGGGUCCGAUAUGUUAGAUGGCAGCUAAUUUUUUGUCAAUAAUUGAAUGUAAUGCCCAUAUUAGGCCCUGUACAAAACUUUGCUUAUCAUAUAAUAAAAUUAGAACAUAAAACAUACACACUAUAUAAUAUCAUAAUGUAAAUAAAGUUAAGCAUAUAAGUAGACAACAUAACGUAAAACUACUAAAACGAUAAAUAAAAACAAAUAUUGCAUAAUUAAAUAAAUAACAAGUGGCAAAAUUUAUUAUUAGAUUGUUAAUGCCAUGUUUGUGAAAGUUUAUUAUUAAAGUGUAUGUUCUUAUUUAUUGAGAAAUAAUAAUUUUUGUGAUUAAACUUUAUUUUUAUUUUAUAGUAUUCUUUAAUUUAAGGAUUAAGUUAUUGAAAAAUUUAUAAUUUUUAUCCACUAUAUUUUUUUUAUAUUUUAAUAUCAAUUUAAUGAUUAAUAACAAUUAAUAAUUAUUAUAAUUUUGAUAUAAUUAAAUUUUAUUAAAAUAAAAAUUAUUUUAAUAAUAAAAUUCAAACCAAACCCAAACCAAACCAAAUGUUUGAUUUAGGUUGAGUUAAAAAUAUUUAGAUUAAUUUAGGUUGGAUCCAAAUUUUUAUAAUUUAAUUUGAAUUAAGUUAAAAUUUAACUCAAACCAAUCCAUGCCCACCUCUAGGUGGAAGUGUCUGCUGUCUUUAAAAAUCGAAUUCCAUGGUGAAUUUUAUGUAACUCUCGCGUGAAUUAAAGUGGAGUCAAUAUGUCUUUGAACCGACGGAGACUUCUUUCUCUGCUUUUGCCAGGAAUAAAUGGCAACUUUUCAAAACCAAAAAAAAAAAAAAAAAAUGUAUUUAUAGCUGGUCAAUCCAAUAUGUCACAGCUGUCAUCGUGAUUCUUGAGUAUCUUUUCUUUUUCAUGAACUGAACAAAUUUCCCGUAUCUAUAAAAAAUUGAGGUCGUUCUAUGAUUUCUAUUUUUACUCUAUUAACAAUAUUAUUUUUUUUAAGUGAGCAUCGGCGCUCUCUCCUCCACCAGAUGACGUGGCAGAUUCAUUUAGCUGAUCGGACGUGGGGCGGCAAGUCAAGAUUUGGCAUUUUGCCACUUGUCAUGAUCCUCGAAGCAGUAGCACCAAUAUUUCCGUGUGCCGCUUGGUCCCUUAACCAUUCUAGGGUUUUGUUGAGACGCGAGGGUGGGAUGUUUGGAAUAGUGAGUGCCUAAUAAUCGCACGUGCAUAGGACAAGAAGAAAGGCGCGUAUUCGCCGAUUCGUUUGUAUAAUUUUCCCCCUUUUUUUAUUAUUGUUAUUGACCUUUUUUUGUCGUGAUUUUGUACGAAUUGCCCAAAGUUUUGAUUAUUUGUAAUUAUUUCAUAAUAUGCUGAUGUUUCUCACUUCCUGCG